AUGGCGACGUCUCCUUCCCCUAAGAAGAAGCAGGUGCUUCUGCCGAUAGUCGCCGGCACGGAGCCGAUCGAGGCGUCCAUCCCCAUCGACAUCCUCCGCCGCGCCGGCGCCGACGUCACCGUCGCUUCCGCAGGCGACGCCCUUCUGGUCGAGAUCAUGUACGGCGUCAAAAUAAUGGCCGACGAGCUCCUGGCUGACUGCGCCGCCGCUUCCUACGACCUCAUCGUCCUCCCCGGUGGUGUUCCUGGCGCUGUGAAUCUCGGUGGCUCUGCGACGUUGGAGAGCAUAGUGAGGAAGCACGCAGAGAAGGGAGGACUCUACGCUGCCAUAUGCGCUGCACCGCCGCUGGCGUUGGCGUCCUGGGGCCUACUCAAUGGACAUAAGGCUACGGGUCAUCCAUGGUUCGUCGAGAAGUUCCCUCCCGAGGUUACCGCCGUGGACGCGAACGUGGUGGUGGACAGCAACGCCGUGACGGGCACUGGGCCGGCGACGUCGAUGGAGUUUGCGCUGGCUUUGGUGGAACAGCUCUACGGGAAGGAGAAGGUCGAGCAGAUCGCUAAACCAAUGCUAGUGAGAUACGAAUGUGGCUAUAGCAUGAAAGAAGUCAACUCGGUCGAGUGGCACUGCAGCGGCACACCCAAGGUUCUUCUUCCACUAGCCAACGGCAUUGAGGAGAUGGAGGCGAUAAUACUCGUGGACGCGCUGCGCAGAGCCAAAGCAGACGUCGUGGUCGCGUCCAUCGAGGGCGGCGUCGAGAUCACCGCGCGAUACGGGACAAGGAUCGUGGCCGACGUGAUGCUGGGCGAGGCCGCCGAUCGGGCGCCCUUCGAUCUGAUCAUCGUGCCGGGCGGCAUGCCGGGCGCGAAGACGCUGGGCGGCUGUGAGCAGCUCGUCGCUCUGCUGAAGAAGCAGGCGGAAGCGAACAGGCCAUACGGCGCGAUCGGCGCCGCCACCGCCCACGUGCUCGAGCCCCAUGGCCUGCUCAAGGGUAGGAAGGCGACGACGUGCGCAUCCAUGGCCGGGCUGCUCACGGACGGUAGCGAGUGCGAGAACAGGGUGGUGGUCGACGGGAACGUGAUCACGAGCAGGAGCCCCGGCACCGCCAUGGAGUACGCGGUGGCCGUCGUCGAGAAGAUGCUGGGCCGCGACGAGGCGCGGCGACUGGCGGAAGGCCUGCUCUUCUUGGGCUGA
rnacentral:rRNA from 1 species